rnacentral:lncRNA from 1 species
ACCAAUCCUUUCUCUUUCUCGUCUCUCCCUCUCCCCGCACCACUUCUCGCCGCCGCCACCACCACCUACGGUGCCCGAUCCCGCCCGAUUCCAGCGUCCUCCGGCGGUGCCGAGCACACCACCGUGUCCCCCUCUCAACGCUCCUUCCUCCCAUCGGGCAAGAUCCGACGCGCGCGUCCUCCAGCGACCAAGCGUGACCCUGCCCACCAGCUAGGGUUUGUGCCAGCACGUCGCCGACAUGGCUCCGGCCUUGCUCCAGUGACUCAGGUGAGUCCCUCCACUCCUCCUCGUCACAUACCCC